rnacentral:rRNA from 1 species
AGAGUUUGAUCCUGGCUCAGGAUGAACGCUAGCGGCAGGCUUAACACAUGCAAGUCGAGGGGCAGCGCGGGAUAGCAAUAUCCUGGCGGCGACCGGCGGAAGGGUGCGUAACGCGUGAGCGACAUGCCCGUUGCCCGGGGACAACCGGUGGAAACGCCGACUAAUCCCCGAUGGGAUACGAUGCCUCAUGGCAUUGUAUUGAAAGUUACGGCGGCGACGGAUUGGCUCGCGUCCGAUUAGCUUGUUGGCGGGGUAACGGCCCACCAAGGCUGCGAUCGGUAGGGGUUCUGAGAGGAAGGCCCCCCACAAUGGGACUGAGACACGGCCCAUACUCCUACGGGAGGCAGCAGUGAGGAAUAUUGGUCAAUGGGCGGAAGCCUGAACCAGCCAUGCCGCGUGCGGGAAGGAGGCCCUAUGGGCUGUGAACCGCUUUUGCCUGGGGGCAAUAAGGGCGUCGCGCACGUCCGAUGAGAGUACCAGGCGAAUAAGCAUCGGCUAACUCCGUGCCAGCAGCCGCGGUAAUACGGGGGAUGCGAGCGUUAUCCGGAUUCAUUGGGUUUAAAGGGUGCGUAGGCUGUGCGUCAAGUCGGGGGUGAAAUUCCGGUGCUCAACACCGGGGCUGCCCUUGAUACUGUCGCGCUGGAGUGCGGAUGCCGCCGGAGGAAUGAGUGGUGUAGCGGUGAAAUGCUUAGAUAUCACUCAGAACACCGAUUGCGAAGGCAUCUGGCGAAUCCGUAACUGACGCUGAGGCACGAAAGCGUGGGGAUAGAACAGGAUUAGAUACCCUGGUAGUCCACGCCGUAAACGAUGAUGGCUAACCG